rnacentral:rRNA from 1 species
GAUGAACGCUGGCGGCGUGCCUAAUACAUGCAAGUCGAGCGAACGGACGAGAAGCUUGCUUCUCUGAUGUUAGCGGCGGACGGGUGAGUAACACAUGGAUAACCUACCUAUAAGACUGGGAUAACUUCGGGAAACCGGAGCUAAUACCGGAUAAUAUUUUGAACCGCAUGGUUCAAAAGUGAAAGACGGUCUUGCUGUCACUUAUAGAUGGAUCCGCGCUGCAUUAGCUAGUUGGUAAGGUAACGGCUUACCAAGGCAACGAUGCAUAGCCGACCUGAGAGGGUGAUCGGCCACACUGGAACUGAGACACGGUCCAGACUCCUACGGGAGGCAGCAGUAGGGAAUCUUCCGCAAUGGGCGAAAGCCUGACGGAGCAACGCCGCGUGAGUGAUGAAGGUCUUCGGAUCGUAAAACUCUGUUAUUAGGGAAGAACAUAUGUGUAAGUAACUGUGCACAUCUUGACGGUACCUAAUCAGAAAGCCACGGCUAACUACGUGCCAGCAGCCGCGGUAAUACGUAGGUGGCAAGCGUUAUCCGGAAUUAUUGGGCGUAAAGCGCGCGUAGGCGGUUUUUUAAGUCUGAUGUGAAAGCCCACGGCUCAACCGUGGAGGGUCAUUGGAAACUGGAAAACUUGAGUGCAGAAGAGGAAAGUGGAAUUCCAUGUGUAGCGGUGAAAUGCGCAGAGAUAUGGAGGAACACCAGUGGCGAAGGCGACUUUCUGGUCUGUAACUGACGCUGAUGUGCGAAAGCGUGGGGAUCAAACAGGAUUAGAUACCCUGGUAGUCCACGCCGUAAACGAUGAGUGCUAAGUGUUAGGGGGUUUCCGCCCCUUAGUGCUGCAGCUAACGCAUUAAGCACUCCGCCUGGGGAGUACGACCGCAAGGUUGAAACUCAAAGGAAUUGACGGGGACCCGCACAAGCGGUGGAGCAUGUGGUUUAAUUCGAAGCAACGCGAAGAACCUUACCAAAUCUUGACAUCCUUUGACAACUCUAGAGAUAGAGCCUUCCCCUUCGGGGGACAAAGUGACAGGUGGUGCAUGGUUGUCGUCAGCUCGUGUCGUGAGAUGUUGGGUUAAGUCCCGCAACGAGCGCAACCCUUAAGCUUAGUUGCCAUCAUUAAGUUGGGCACUCUAAGUUGACUGCCGGUGACAAACCGGAGGAAGGUGGGGAUGACGUCAAAUCAUCAUGCCCCUUAUGAUUUGGGCUACACACGUGCUACAAUGGACAAUACAAAGGGCAGCGAGACCGCGAGGUCAAGCAAAUCCCAUAAAGUUGUUCUCAGUUCGGAUUGUAGUCUGCAACUCGACUACAUGAAGCUGGAAUCGCUAGUAAUCGUAGAUCAGCAUGCUACGGUGAAUACGUUCCCGGGUCU